rnacentral:rRNA from 1 species
GAUGAACGCUAGCGAUAGGCUUAACACAUGCAAGUCGAGGGGUAACGUGUUGGAAGCUUGCUUCCGAUGACGACGACCGGCGGAUGGGUGCGUAACGCGUAUGCAACUUGCCUCACAGUGGAGAAUAACACGGAGAAAUCCGGACUAAUACUCCAUACACUCUUAAGUACGCCUGUACAUGAGAGGAAAGAUUUAUCGCUGUGAGAUAGGCAUGCGUCCUAUUAGGUAGUUGGUGAGGUAACGGCUCACCAAGCCGACGAUAGGUAGGGGUGCUGAGAGGCAGAUCCCCCACAUUGGGACUGAGACACGGCCCAAACUCCUACGGGAGGCAGCAGUGAGGAAUAUUGGUCAAUGGAGGAAACUCUGAACCAGCCAAGUCGCGUGAAGGAAGAAUGUCCUAAGGAUUGUAAACUUCUUUAGCGAGCGAGUAAGGACUUCCACGGGAUGGGAGUUUGAAAGUAGCUCGAGAAUAAGUAUCGGCUAACUCCGU